AACGAACGCUGGCGGCAUGCCUAACACAUGCAAGUCGAACGGGUACCUUCGGGUGCUAGUGGCGCACGGGUGCGUAACGCGUGGGAAUCUGCCCUUGGGUUCGGAAUAACUCAGCGAAAGCUGUGCUAAUACCGGAUGAUGUCGAAAGACCAAAGAUUUAUCGCCCGAGGAUGAGCCCGCGUUGGAUUAGCUAGUUGGUGGGGUAAAGGCCUACCAAGGCGACGAUCCAUAGCUGGUCUGAGAGGAUGAUCAGCCACACUGGGACUGAGACACGGCCCAGACUCCUACGGGAGGCAGCAGUGGGGAAUAUUGGACAAUGGGCGAAAGCCUGAUCCAGCAAUGCCGCGUGAGUGAUGAAGGCCGUAGGGUUGUAAAGCUCUUUUACCCGGGAUGAUAAUGACAGUACCGGGAGAAUAAGCUCCGGCUAACUCCGCG
rnacentral:rRNA from 1 species